rnacentral:tRNA from 1 species
UGCUGGGUAACUCAACGGUAGAGUGGCGGACUUUUCACCCGUAUAAUGUAGGUUCGAUUCCUGCCCCGGCUAUA